rnacentral:lncRNA from 1 species
ACCCUUGGGGAUCCCCUGUUAUUAUUCAGGGAGGGAAUGGAGAUUUUCUCAAGUAAUUCUGACGGAGACGGGGAGGGGACGGGGACAUAUGCAAAAUAUCAGGGAUGGGUAUGGGGAGAUUGGUCCCCUCCCCUCCCCUCCCCUCCUCAUUGCCAUCCCUAAUUUAGAGUAGCUGUGGCUUACGUGGCGCCUCUUCAUUGGCAGUUAAAGGAUCCGAACAGCCUGUUUUAGAUUUGUCUUCAGCUUUUGCAUAUUCAAGUUAGUUAUGAAGCUAACAUAAAUAAUCGGAUGAAAGGGUUCCUUUUAACGUUUUAACAUUAUCCGAAUUUUGUGGGGUGAUGCUAGUAAGUUCAAUUCAUAAUAAUUUGAAGAGAUUUACGGCAAAGUCAAAGGGACAUGCAUUUUAACCGAAUCGGUUCUAAUUUCUAACCUGACAAUUUGGUUCAAAUGGAGACGCUCAGAUGUUAAUUUGCACAAGAUAAGAACGUGGUUGCCAUUGAAAAAAAGGGUUAUAGAAUGUAUAAUUUACGAAAGAAAAAGAUUAGGUUUCAUGUUUAAAAAGACAAAAUGAAAGAAGCUGGCACGAGCCACGAAGCCAAGACACAUUCUGCUUCGUGGAUGCAAGUAAUUGCUAAUUGUAACAAAGUGGACUUCAAUUGUACAGCUGCACUGGUGGGUUGCUUAAUGCCAACUUAAACCAAAACUUAGAAUUAAUCAGAUUAAUUAAAGCGCUUAACCAAAAAGACAAAAGCCAAUUGGCAUGUGCUCAUCAGCACAGGGAGAACCAAUCUGGCGAGUUUUCUCUAAAUCUGUCAUGUCUGCUCAUAACAUUUGUGGCUUUAUUAUACAUUUUCAAGAUUGGCCCAACUUGAGGACAUCAAUUCGUGUUGUUGGGUAAGAUACUAAGAUUAUUCUAGCUAAUGGAACUUAAGGAUAUCAAUUUCCAUUCUUGGUUUAGAUAAUUAAUUCUAGCUAAUAGAGGGAGACUUGGAAAGAAAAAGCAGAGACAAACUUAUAUAAGGAAAAAUUUCGGUCUACCCCUCUCGUGAAGUGACAAUCUUUAAAUCGCCCCAUUUACUAUUAAAAAUAUCAAGUUAUCCUUAAAACUCAUUAUUUUUAAUCAUUGACCGUCGUUGACUCAUAAAAGUACGAAAGUACCCCUACCUUAACAGAAUAUUCCUAUAACGACAUUGUGAGGUUAAAAAGAAAUGGUUAAUGUAUAACUAAUCAUUGGAAAAUGAAAAAAAGUAGUUAAUGUAUUACUAGUCAUUGAAAAAUAAAUUAAAAAUAAAGUGUUGAAAUGACUUAAUGGACCUAAAUUAAUUGAUAGUUUUCUUAAAUUAGACAUGUUAGUUCAACAAAUUACAAGACAUGCCAUCAUACGUAAAUUACGAUAAUGUCAUCAN